rnacentral:tRNA from 1 species
CGGAUUGAGGUCAAAAGGAAAGACGUCUAUUUUGGGAUUAGAAGAUUACGAGUUCGAGUCUCGUCAAUCCGA